rnacentral:lncRNA from 1 species
GGCUAAGGGGGUCCCGAUUUACAUACUCCUUGGACAAGACCCUCCUCCAAACAUACGUCGAACUGCUGGAGCGCGCGUACAAAUACAUGCGUGCAGACGAAGGAGCUUCCGACCGGCGCCUGACCGAGACCAAGGGCCCGAAAGAGAAGUGAAGAAAAAGUCGGGCUCCUGUCGAGCCUAGCAGGCCCCCGACCGACAAAUAGGUCUCACCCUAGUGAUGGAGCCC